rnacentral:rRNA from 1 species
CCUACGGGAGGCAGCAGUGGGGAAUAUUGGACAAUGGGGGAAACCCUGAUCCAGCGACGCCGCGUGAGUGAAGAAGUAUUUCGGUACGUAAAGCUCUAUCAGCAGGGAAGAAAAUGACGGUACCUGACUAAGAAGCCCCGGCUAACUACGUGCCAGCAGCCGCGGUAAUACGUAGGGGGCAAGCGUUAUCCGGAUUUACUGGGUGUAAAGGGAGCGUAGACGGCAGCGCAAGUCUGGAGUGAAAUGCCGGGGCUCAACCCCGGAACUGCUUUGGAAACUGUGAAGCUGGAGUGCAGGAGAGGUAAGCGGAAUUCCUGGUGUAGCGGUGAAAUGCGUAGAUAUCAGGAGGAACACCGGCGGCGAAGGCGGCUUACUGGACUGUAACUGACGUUGAGGCUCGAAGGCGUGGGGAGCAAACAGGAUUAGAUACCCGAGUAGUC